rnacentral:rRNA from 1 species
GGGGAAUAUUGCACAAUGGGCGCAAGCCUGAUGCAGCGACGCCGCGUGAGGGAUGACGGCCUUCGGGUUGUAAACCUCUUUCAGCACAGACGAAGCGCAAGUGACGGUAUGUGCAGAAGAAGGACCGGCCAACUACGUGCCAGCAGCCGCGGUAAUACGUAGGGUCCGAGCGUUGUCCGGAAUUACUGGGCGUAAAGAGCUCGUAGGUGGUUUGUCGCGUUGUUCGUGAAAACUCACAGCUUAACUGUGGGCGUGCGAGCGAUACGGGCAGACUAGAGUACUGCAGGGGAGACUGGAAUUCCUGGUGUAGCGGUGGAAUGCGCGGAUAUCAGGAGGAACACCGGUGGCGAAGGCGGGUCUCUGGGCAGUAACUGACGCUGAGGAGCGAAAGCGUGGGGAGCGAAC